rnacentral:rRNA from 1 species
GUGGGGAAUAUUGGACAAUGGGCGAAAGCCUGAUCCAGCCAUGCCGCGUGUGUGAAGAAGGUCUUCGGAUUGUAAAGCACUUUAAGUUGGGAGGAAGGGCGGUAAGUUAAUACCUUGCUGUUUUGACGUUACCGACAGAAUAAGCACCGGCUAACUUCGUGCCAGCAGCCGCGGUAAUACGAAGGGUGCAAGCGUUAAUCGGAAUUACUGGGCGUAAAGCGCGCGUAGGUGGUUUUGUAAGUUGGAGGUGAAAUCCCCGGGCUCAACCUGGGAACUGCCUCCAAAACUGCAUGACUAGAGUACGGUAGAGGGUAGUGGAAUUUCCUGUGUAGCGGUGAAAUGCGUAGAUAUAGGAAGGAACACCAGUGGCGAAGGCGACUACCUGGACUGAUACUGACACUGAGGUGCGAAAGCGUGGGGAGCAAACAGGAUUAGAUACCCGUGUAGUCC